GAGUUCAAGAGUACGUGAAACUGCUUAGAGGUUAAGCCCGAUGAACCUGAAUAUCCGUUAUGGAAAAUUCAUCACUAAUGAUGUUAUAUUUUUUUAAAAUAUAAUAAAAAUGGUGUGCAAUUUUUCCAUAUAAGGACAUUGUAAUCUGUUAAUGUAUUAAAUAUUUAUCAUAAGAUCUUUUACUUAAGUUUAUCCAAAUUAGUUAUUUUCGGAUUUCUAACAUAAGAUAAAUGUAUUAGAUUUGAUAAAUCAUUGACAGAUUAAAUAAUAUAUAGUGCUUAAAUUUGAAGGAAUUUUACAAUGGUAAUUAAAUCUUUUGAUUUUUUUAUUUUAUUGUAUGCACUUAUAUGAUUAACAAUGCGAUAGAUUCAGGAUACCUUCGGGACCCGUCUUGAAACACGGACCAAGGAGUCUAACAUAUGUGCAAGUCAUUGGGUAUUAAAACCCAAAGGCAUAAUUAACUUAACUGUUUUAAUGGGAUUAGUUUAUGUUUUAUUAUGAAAUAUAAAUUCAAUCCCGGGCGUUCUAUACAGUAUGAUAAUAAUAUUAUAUAUUAUGCCUCUAACUAGAGC
rnacentral:rRNA from 1 species